rnacentral:rRNA from 1 species
GCUUGUCUAGUAUAAGCAAUUAUACCGUGAAACUGCGAAUGGCUCAUUAAAUCAGUUAUCGUUUAUUUGAUAAUACCUUACUACUUGGAUAACCGUGGUAAUUCUAGAGCUAAUACAUGCUGAAAAUCCCGACUUCGGAAGGGAUGUGUUUAUUAGAUAAAAAACCAAUGCCCUUCGGGGCUUUUUGGUGAUUCAUGAUAACUUUACGGAUCGCAUAGCCUUGCGCUGGCGACGGUUCAUUCAAAUUUCUGCCCUAUCAACUUUCGAUGGUAAGGUAUUGGCUUACCAUGGUUUCAACGGGUAACGGGGAAUUAGGGUUCGAUUCCGGAGAGGGAGCCUGAGAAACGGCUACCACAUCCAAGGAAGGCAGCAGGCGCGCAAAUUACCCAAUCCCGACACGGGGAGGUAGUGACAAUAAAUACUGAUACAGGGCUCUUUUGGGUCUUGUAAUUGGAAUGAGUACAAUUUAAACCUCUUAACGAGGAACAAUUGGAGGGCAAGUCUGGUGCCAGCAGCCGCGGUAAUUCCAGCUCCAAUAGCGUAUAUUAAAGUUGUUGCAGUUAAAAAGCUCGUAGUUGAAACUUGGGCCUGGCUGGCGGGUCCGCCUCACCGCGUGCACUCGUCCGGCCGGGCCUUCCUUCUGAAGAACCUCAUGCCCUUCACUGGGCGUGCUGGGGAAUCAGGACUUUUACUUUGAAAAAAUUAGAGUGUUCAAAGCAGGCCUUUGCUCGAAUACGUUAGCAUGGAAUAAUAAAAUAGGGCGUGCGUUUCUAUUUUGUUGGUUUCUAGAGACGCCGCAAUGAUUAACAGGAACAGUCGGGGGCAUCAGUAUUCAGUUGUCAGAGGUGAAAUUCUUGGAUUUACUGAAGACUAACUACUGCGAAAGCAUUUGCCAAGGAUGUUUUCAUUAAUCAGUGAACGAAAGUUAGGGGAUCGAAGACGAUCAGAUACCGUCGUAGUCUUAACCGUAAACUAUGCCGACUAGGGAUCGGGCGAUGUUCUUUUUCUGACUCGCUCGGCACCUUACGAGAAAUCAAAGUUUUUGGGUCCUGGGGGAUUAUUU